rnacentral:lncRNA from 1 species
CUGUUAUGAUUCCUGUUGGAGUUUGCCUUGAUCUGGUUAGGUCUAGUGGUUUGCGUGAUGCUAGGUGUCACUGGGUUUUCGCCCCGUGAUGGGCUACUCGAUGACGAGUGCUCAUAGUGGGUUUCCCAGUGAUGCUUUGAUAUAGCCUUACCCCUUUCUUACUUCCUUAUACUGUAGUCGUUUAUGCUGGGUCUGUGUUCGUUGAACUUUAAACUUUGUAUUUCCGUUAUGCAAUUAAUGGAAAGGGGUUAUGGCCCGGGUCAAAAAAAUACAAGCGUCCUUGAGACUGCCCAACAUCACAGAUUCGUCCUUGAGAGUGCCCAACAUCACAGGUGUUUGGCAUUUGAAUCUCCCUCCAAACUUUCCCCUCCACGUCGACUAUGGCUAUUCUCUUAUCAAGGGUAGGCAGAUGGAUAGUGCCAUUCAGGAAGACCUGUGUGUAUAUACCAUGAUUCACGAGAGGAUCUCUUGUCCACUUACUUUGCACAUGAGUCCACCCUCCAGUUUCUGUCGAGUAGAUUGACACUUUUCCGGAAUCGUUCAUACCAACCAUCUAGCUCUCGGGAGCAAACACCACAAAGCGGGAUGGAAUAGCAGGGUCGAAACCUAGGAAAGGGAUGGGAUCGGGACCUGGAAAUCCGACAGGAGGCAGCACAGUCCACUCUUGGGUAGCAGGAUUGCAGACAACAUAAUAGGAUUCGUCUUGCAGAUUAUCCGAGCAGCUGCACAGGAGAAGGCCGCCGCAGACGUGUUGGACAGAAAUGUGGCGGUACCUUUGGCGCAAGAAAGGGAGAGAGGGGUCGACAAGUGGCGGACCUCUCCCAUUCAAAUUGCGGAAAUUGAGGACACGGGCGUUCUUGUAGAAGAAGCCGGAGAGGGUCUGUGGCGACCUCUUGCGGAUGUUCGGGGCGGAGCAGAGGGCGAGGCACGGCUUGGACACGCACUUGAAGCGGCAGAGCGACCUGUAGGGCACACGCGAAAGGAUCUCGACGAGGGCGCCCUCGGGGAGGCUCGGCACGAUCUGCUGCUCUUGCUCCAGCUUCUGCACCUGCUUCUUCUUUACAUCCUGUAAAUGAUGGAGAGGACGGCUCAUUUAGGCUCCCGAUCCCCUUUCUUGGAUCGAUGACAAUUGACGGGGCCAGUCGAGGAUCUUGUUCUAAAAGAGAAAGAACAUUGCAGAAGCAUGGAGCAAACCUCGGAAGCCACCGGGACAAUGGCGGGGAGCGGCGGCGUAGAAUGGGGCAGAGCGUCUUCGUCGCGACGGACGGUGACCGGCGGGUGGCUCUGCACCGUGCAGCCGUGCUCGCCCCCUCCUUCUCCUCCUGGCGGCAUGACCUCCUCUCCAGCUGGCGCUAGGGUUCGUGAAAUCGUGAUGGGGCGUGACUGCGAGUGGAGUGGAGUGGCCCCGUUGAUAAUGGGCUCUCCGAUUUUUUUUCUUUAUUAGCCGUGGUUCUAAAGGCGGCCCAAAUGAUUCUGAUGAUUUGUUGGACCUCUCCACUGAAUAGUCGAACAAUUUUCUUGGUUGGUUUGUUAAUUUACGAGCCGAUGAUAAAAAAAAGAUUUGCAUCAGCAGAAUGUGCAUGUACUAGAUAUGUUUUGAAUUACAACUUGUUGGCACCUAUUAGUCUUGCCUAGCUUUGUAGAAGAAGAUAUCAAUAUUCAUACUAUGAAAUCAAUAUUAUGAGAUGCAUGAUGAAAUUAAUUUUCAUAAUAUAUAACUUUAGUAUUGUGAUGUCGAUAUUUUUUUACUAAAAAGUUGGUCAAACUUUACAACGCUUGAUUUUGACCAAAUCUUAUAUGCAGACUAAAAAGAAACGGAGGGAGUAAUUAAACUCAUUAAGCUACGCGUGAAGGGCGACCAACCAGCUAUGCCACGUGGCGCAAACUGGUUGGGCACGGUGAGAAACUUUUGAAUUUUUUUAGAUGAAGAUGUGGAUUAUUUUUUAAAAUGUAUUUUUUCUUUUUAGAUGGAGGUGAGGAGCUCUGGUAUUUUUUAAAUGGAGGGUUGUGCAAAGUGGCACUCGCUAGUUGGCUGCGGUGAUAUUUUUUCCUUUUUACUUUUUUUAGAUGAAGGUGAAGAUUUUCUUUUGAGAUGAUAGGCCUUGCACCGUGUGCCUCAUUCUUUCAAGACUUUAUUGAUGCUUAAUGCUCAUCCAUACAUUAGUCUUCUCAAGUGCAUUGCCUUCACUCUCACACAUCAUUUUGGUUGAGCCCAUUCUUAAGUUGCCUCUUUCACUUGUUGCUCAACCAUGUGUUAGUCGCAAGUACUAGGCUUAGUUUCCUAUAUGCUCACUUGCACUUGUUGUUAGUUUCUAUUGAUUUUGGGGGAGCUAUGAUCCUAUUUUGUGCACUUUGUAUCCAAAUACAAAUCUUCUUAUGCGUGCACAAAUCAUGGGGAGCUUCUCUAGUUUCUCUAGAACACUCUGUUAUUCUUGUGGCACGUAGGAUCUUUGGUCUAGUUGGUUCAAUUGGUAUCUUUUGAUUGCUUGCUUCAAUUGGUACCUUUCGAUUGCUUGAUUGCUUGUGUCUCUCUUUGUUAUGUCUUUGUGGCAUAUCUUUCUUUUGCAAUCUUUGGGCCUCAAUAUAGUUUGUCUUCCUCCAAGUAUUUACCGUUGGAUAUGUGUAUUGCAUUCCAGUCUCUUGUUGAGAAAUACACAACUUAUGGAGGAACUCAAUCUAUAUUGGCCUUCUAAGCUUUUCGCCCAUUUUGGCAAUCGAUGCCAAUGGGGGAGAAGUUUCAGAGAGUUUUGUGGAGUUUUCAGAGAGUUUUGUGGAGAAGACUUUAGAGUUUUCUCCUUGCUUUGGUUUUGUUCCUAAGCAUUUGCAUCUCAUACGCAUGCAUUAUUGGUUGUUGCAUUGCAUGGUGAUGCAUAAUUCCUUGUAUUAAACUCUCUUGAAAGUGAUUGUCAUCAAUUACCAAAAUGGGGGAGAUUGAAAGAACAUGCGGUGCCCCCAUGUUUGGUUUUGGUAAUUGAUGACAAUCUCUAUGGACUAAUGGUUGCCUUGAGUUAUAUUUGAAGGUUUUGUCCAUAGGCUUUUCUUGGAGUACAUGUGUUGGUUUCAAGGAGAGUUUGUGUCGACCAAGGUGUUAUUCAAGGAAUUAUUCAAAGAUUGGUCAUUUGAGAGUUGAGCUUAUUGAAAGCAUGUCUUGAAGAAGAAGAUUGUGUGAUCAUUCAUGUUUACUUUCAAGACAUUAUCCAAACGAGGAGAGUUGGAAAGAUUUAAGGUUGAUCAAGACUAAGUCAAGAGUGAAUCAAGUUGAUCAACUCACAAAGCGUAGAAGAUGUACCAAGAGGGAUCAAGUGAUCCCAUGGUUUGGUAAGCAUUGUCCAUUGCGCUUUGUGUACUAACCCAUGGUCUAUGUGAGAGUUCUACAUGGGGUUAGGUACGUGUUCAUGGGCUUGUGUCAAGAGGAAGAUAUCACUCAACCCAUGGAGAGGAUGACAUCAUGUGGUGAUCGUCAUCAAGAUUGUCGUGUGCAAGUUCAAGUGGAUCAUCGCGAAGAGAUCAAGUGCUUGAAGCUUGCCGGCCAUUGUGGUGACAAUGGACUUGUGAAGAUGUGCCGAAGAGUGGCUCGCCCAUAGUGGUCUAUGGGGGAGCAAUCAUCUAGUCUUCAUCGUGCCAACGCAAUAAAGUAAGGUGGUCCAAUUUGAGGGAGUCAAGAUCGUCAUCAUCUAGUUCAAGUGGACCAUGUGUAAAGCAAAGGUUUGCUCUUGAUAGGUUUUCUAUUUUACUGGUCUCAUGGUGGUAGUUUGGAGACUGGGUUAUAGGAUCGUUUGCCGUACUAUCAAGGGGGGCUCUCAAGUUGGUAGCUUGAUCGUAUCGUUAGUAGAGAGCUCAAACCAUUGCAUCCUUGCAUCAUCUUUCCUGGUUCUUGUUUGGUUCUCUUUGUGAGUCUUAGAGCUUAUGGUCAUCUUGAUGACAAGCUUGAGUUCAUCGAAAACGGAGUUCGCAUGCAUCUUCUAUGAUGUUUUCGAUGUUGGAGGUUUUGCCGAUUCUUCUCGGUUGGAGGUUUCACUCCUCUUUUUGUUUGUCGCUGUUUUGAUGCUACUCGUCGUCUUGUUUCCAACAAGCUUGAGUUUGCUCAAUUCGGAGCUCAUAUGCAGAAGUUACGGUAGUUCUUGUUUUCUUGAGUGUGGUUUUUGUCAGGGUCCCAGCGGUAGUACCGUGGUACCCAGCGGUAGUACCGCUGAGGGGUCACAAGCGGCAGUACCGCUCCGCAGCGGUAGUACCGACGGUGACUCCGCAGCAGUACUACCGCUGGCUUACCAGGUCCCUACCGCGUCGAUUCGAGGGGUCUUUUUUUGUGUCGGAUUGUGCGGUACCUCGCUGCAGCAGUACCGCUCCUUAGCGGCAGUACCGCCCUUCCGCCGCGGUAGUACCGCCCGGUUCCUCUUUCCCUUUACCCUUCGUUCUGCGCGGCAGUACCGCCGAAGGGAGCGGUAGUACCGCUUAACCCAGCGGUAGUACCGCUGUCUCCUGCGGUACUACCGCCCCAAGGUUCAUGUUUUGUUGCUCCUUUUCCCUGUUUCUUCCACCUAAGCGGUAGUACCGCUCGUGAAGCGGUAGUACCAUUCGUGUGCGGGCUGAGCACAUAACGGUUGGAUUUUCCCCCUCCUAUAAAAGGGGGUCUUCUUCCCCAAUGAACCUUAUCCUUUGAGCUCGUGUUCUUCCCCCAUUGUUGACCUUCUUCGAGCUUGCUAACUCUCAAUCCCUCCAUGGAUUCUUGCUAGUUUUUGAGGGAAAAGAGAGAGGAGAUCUAAAUCCACAUUUCCACCAAUCACUUUCUCCUCUAUGUGAGGGGAACCCCUUGGAUCUAGAUCUUGGAGUUCUUGGUGUUCUCCUUCUUGUUCUUCCUCUCAUUUUCCCUAGCAUUAGUUGCUUCAGUGGGAUUUGAGAGAGAAGGACUUGGGCACUCAGUGUGCCCUUGCCAUUGCAUUUGAUGCAUCGAUUUGAGUUCUCCACGGUGAUACGUGGAAGUGAAGGUUGAGAAGCUUAUUACUCUUGGGUGUUUGGGCACCCUAGAGCUUGUUCCUCUUGGGUGCCUUGGCGCCCUAGACGGUUGGUGUUGUUCGGAGCUCAAUCAUUGUGGUGAAAAGCUUCGGGCAAGCAUCGGAGUCUCCAAUUAGGUUGUGGAGAUCGCCCCGAGCAAUUUGACGGGUACCGGUGACCGCCCCCAAGGGUUGCCAAAGUGUACGGGUUCAGUGACCGCCCCCAAGGGUUGCCAUUUGUACGGGUUCGGUGACCGCCCUCAAGGGUCCCUUAGUGGAAUCACGGCAUCUUGCAUUGUGCGAGGGCGUGAGGAGAUUACGGUGGCCCUAGUGGCUUCUUGGGGAGCAUUGUGCCUCCACACCGCUCCAAACGGAGAUUAGCAUCCGCAAGGGUGUGAACUUCAGGGUACAUCGCCGUCUCCGCGUGCCUCGGUUAUCUCUUACCCGAGCCCCUUUACUUAUGCACUUUACUUUAUGAUAGCCAUAUUGUUUCUUGUCAUAUAUCUUGCUAUCACAUAGUUGUUUAUCUUGCUUAGCAUAAGUUGUUGGUGCACAUAGGUGAUCCUAGUUGUUUUAGGUUUUGUGCUUGACAAAUUAACCGCUAGGCUUAUUCCGCAUUUGUUAAAGCCUAAACCAUAAUUAUUUUAAAACGCCUAUUCACCCCCGCCCCCUCUAGGCGGCAUCGACGAUCUUUCAAUGUGCUCCCUUCGGUCCUUUUUACUCUGCAUAUUAGAAUUCUCUAAAGUUAAACUUCACAAAGUUUGACUGUAUUUAUAUGAAAAAAUAUCAAUAUCUGCCAUGCUAAAGUUAUAUAAUAUAAAAUUUUAAGUCAUGACACAUCUAGUGGUAUUGAUUUCAGAUUGUGAAUGUUGACACUUUUUUUUACAAAGCUGGUCAAAUUUUAUGAGGCUUGACUUUGGUCAAAUCUUAUAUGCGAAUUAAAAAGGACCGGGGGAAGUACAAGAGUGGGCUAUGAGCCUAAUGCAUGGAGUUGGCCUCUUGCUAAGUUUUCUCGGUUACUUCGGUACUUCGGGUACUCGAUUUAAAACUGAAGUGACCGAUGUAAUUUCGGUUUUACAAAGUUGCUGACCGAAUUUAGUAACGAUUUUUUCGGUUUUGGUUCAUUCGGCUUCGGUCUUGGUUUUUCCGGUUCGGUAAUUUGGUCUUCGGUUAAAAUGCCCACCCCUAGCUGCCAGUGAGAGCGUGUACUUCGUGAUAACAGGCCCUUGGAUGGAUUAGUACUAUCAGCAGGUGGGAAUCUAAAAAUGGCCCAAUGGAUCAUGAUAGUUCCUCAACCCUCUUUCCUUGUUGCCCGAGAAAAAUAAACUCCCCUGACUUUUUUACAGCGCAAAAGAGCUUUGCAUCAGGAGAAUGUACAUAGCGGUUUUUGUAUGUGUUGGUACUAACAUAUUCUGAAGCAAUUUGCAAGAUACUCCAUACUAACAUUGAUGAAGGAGUAAAAAUACUCCUACAAAUUGUGCCUCAGGUAGCAAGAAAGAAUACUCCAUACUAACAUGUAUGGCGCCGGAAGCCAUACGGUACACGCCGGCUCAAUCAAGAAAGAAGCAAGCCGUCAGCGCUAACCAAGCCUGCCUCCAACUCCUGGCCUCAUCGAUGAUUCCACCAUGAAUUUGUGAAACGGAGCUGGCCACUACCAAAAACAACCUCCUCCGAACGGAAUAUUUUUCCCUUUGGAAAACAAAUCAAAUAACUCCAUUCAGACGCACCUGGUGCAGCACGCAACCUUCUUUCAGCACGCAACCUUCUUUCAACCUUCGAUCGAGUUCACAUCCACUCCCCCUUUCCAAGCUUUACUCUUUCUUUACUUGUCGCCGAACCAUAUAACACAUGCAUGUCAGCUCUUAAUUAAGCCUCCAACAUCGACCGACCAAGCAUUAAGUGCUGACAGUUAUAUAUAUAUAUAUAUAUAUAUAUAUCGAUGACACAUGUACUACAUGACAUCAUACUACGCAGUAGUUAUCUGAAUUUUUCUGGAUGUAUCACUAUAACAUAGUGUAAGUGGGUGACAUGCACUACUAGGGAAAACCUAGUGGUAGCGCGGGUUUUGAGACUAUCAGCAGCGCGGCUACCCGCGCUACUACUACAGCGCUACAAUUAACAGUUAGUAGUAGCGCGGUCUAUACCCGCGCUACUACUAUUGACUAUAUCAGCGUCGUUUUUCUGGAACGCGCUACUGUUAAGUAGCUGCAGCGCUUUCCUAUACCCGCGCUAGUGCUGUAUCUUUCAUCAUUUUUCUUCCUACCCCGUUUGAAUAAACUGCAAUUUUACAUAUACCAGAUAACAAUAUCAUUAAACGCAAUACCAUAUAGUCAUAUAAUAGGUAUACAAUAUCGUAAAGCAUUAUAGGUACUAGGUAGUACUAGAUAACAAUUUCAUAUAUAGUCAACAUGCAUUCUCAAGCAGUACUAGGUAGUCUUAUACAGCCACACAAAUAUAGCAGUUUUACUAGGUAUAUAUAGUCAUACAGCCACACACACAUAUAUAGUUCUAGAUGAUAUCGACGACGAUCAUCAUCCUCAAGCCUGGGCGGUGGGUGUUCCUAAUAGUAAUUAGGAUGGCCUGUCCAACACGAAGAUUCUUGCCAACGAGGAAUCUCUUCCACCCAACCGAGCUUAAAUGUGUGCGACCGUCCAUGUCCAGGCCGUAAGUACAGGUGGUGACGGAGCCCCUUGCGGUAAGGCGUAGUCCAGUUGAGUCUUCUUCAUCAGACUCGAUACCACAACUCACAGAUAGGCUCUUUGGCAAUUUCUGAAUAAGAAAACCAUAUCAGUUAAUAAGUAGCCUCGCACAUACUCUGGCAAAUAUAUUUCUACUAAGUAUAGAUUUCUACAUUAUCAAAAGACACAGUACUACACAUUUCUACUAAGCAUGAAUUCUACUAAUAAGUAUAUAUGAAUUAUCUACACUAUUAAUAGUUUCUUCGAUUCUACACUAAUAAACAUGUGAUCGGACUCUACACUAAAGCAUAUCAUCAACUUGAUUCCACACAACAUAUCAUUUGACUCUACACUAAGCAUAUCAUCGGAUUCACUAAGAAUAUCAUCGGAUAUUUUGCAUUUGUAAGUAUAAUAAUAAAGCAUAUAUAUAUCAUCACAUUACUACAGUUAGUAUAACAUACCAUAUCAUGCCGAUCGACCAUGGUACUUGUCAGGCGGAUCACGAAUGGCACCCCGACAAAGUCAUCACGUGGCGGAAUUAUGUCCCAUAGGUUGCACACCUCCUUCUUGCUCAGCCUCAUUCUUUGCUCAGCUUCAUGAAGUGGUUCCUCAUCAUCCUCCACCUUGUUGAUAUAAAUGACAACCAGCUUGGGUCUUUUUGCUCUGAAGAAGAAGCUGAUCAAUGCACCACCAGUAACACGCAUGCGUGCGAGGAAAUGUGCCCAUCUAUCUCCUCCAAUCUGCGACAUAUUGCAUCCUUUCUCGACCUCCAUAGUGUAGGGCCCUCCAGGAGCCUCAAAGGUCACAGUGUCUCCUGUCAGCUUGUUGAAUUUCAACCUCACAUUGCAUGAGACGAUCUGUGUACAAAAAGCAAAAUGACACAAUGCAUUAAUGCCAACACUAAAAACAAAAUAGUUGUUACAUUUCAUAUAAUUUCUUACUGCCGCAUGACGAAAACUCGGCUGGAAGUAGAUGCCGAACAACUUGCCAGUUGUAAGGCUACUGGCGCACCUUGACUUGCACAGUCGACAUGGUGGUGGUGGUCGCGCCAUUUUCCUAAAGCAGUAUUAGCAAAGAUGAACGAUCCACUUCACAGGAAAGGAAAACAAUAACAUAAAGUUCUCAAUGCAUCGAUCUUAAUCAGAAAACAGAAUAUUCAGGCUUAGUAACUAAAAUUAACAUAUAAGAUGAUAUGAGGUUAGCAACAGACAUUACAUAUAACAAGAACUGUCAUGCUACUGUUUUCAAUCUUUGUUGUUUAUCUUGUGCCAAACUGAAUAUAUUUAACAAGUUAGCAUCAAUACUAAUUAAACAAGACCAAUGAAUCUAACAACCACAUGUAGCAACUUAGCAUGGGAUGAUCAUCAAGCUCAACAUGCAAACCAACAUAGCAAACUAGUAUCGACUAUUCUAAAUCCUAGUAACUAUCCUAAAUCAAAUUGUUAUAUAUGACCAGAGGCUUAUAUGAACUGAACGCUAUCAACUAUGUCUAAAUUUUUAGUUACCAGUUAAUCAUACUAAAUCAAAAUUGUUAUAUAUCAACUACAAACUAUUAAGUAAAUCAAAAUGUUGCAUAUCAACAAGAAAAUAUCAACUAGCCUACUAAAUCAAAAUGUAGGAGGGGUGGGGGGGUUGCGGAUGGAGGAUGGAGGAGGUAGAAGGAGGGGCGACUGGAGGAGGGAGGAGGAAGGAGGAAGGAGGAGGAAGGCGGAGCGAGGAGGGGCCGGCCGGCGGCGAACAGAGGAGCGGAGGGAGGACGGAGGAGGAGGGAGGCCGGCGAAGGAUUACCGAGUCCAGGGAGGAGGAGGAGGUAACGGCGGCGCAAAGGAAGGAGCGGUAGGCGAUGGCGGCCGGCAGGGGCGAGGGCGGCCGGCGGGGGAGGACCGACACGGGGGGAUUGAGGGGGGAGAUCAAGUGAGUGAUACGUCUCCAACGUAUCUAUAAUUUUUGAUUGUUCCAUGCUAUUAUAUUAUCCAUCUAGGUUGUUUAUAUGCAUUUAUAUGCUAUUUUAUAUGAUUAUUGGGACUAACCUAUUAUCCUAGAGCCCAGUGCCAGUUUCUGUUUUUUCCUUGUUUUUGAGUAUCACAGAAAAGGAAAACCAAACGGAGUCCAAUAGACCUGAAACUUGACGGAGCUUAUUUUUGGACCAGAAGAAGGCCAUGGAGUAAAAGAGUUGUGCCAGAAGAGUCUUGGGCUGCCCACGAGGGUGGGGGCGCGCCUCCCUGCCGCGUGGAUAGCCCGGANNNNNNNNNNNNNNNNNNNNNNNNNNNNNNNNNNNNNNNNNNNNNNNNNNNNNNNNNNNNNNNNNNNNNNNNNNNNNNNNNNNNNNNNNNNNNNNNNNNNNNNNNNNNNNNNNNNNNNNNNNNNNNNNNNNNNNNNNNNNNNNNNNNNNNNNNNNNNNNNNNNNNNNNNNNNNNNNNNNNNNNNNNNNNNNNNNNNNNNNNGUUCUCGAUGCCAAAACCUCUUUUAUAUACUGAAACCUCCAGAACAUAACCUAGAUUGGGAGUUUCUCCGCUAGAAGCCUCCGUAGCCACCAAAAACCAAUCUAGACCCAUUCCAGCACCCUGCCGGAGGGGGGAAUCCCUCUCCGGUGGCCAUCUUCAUCAUCCCGGCGCUCUCCAUGAUGAGGAGGGAGUAGUUCACCCUCGGGACUGAGGGUUUGAUCUCUCUCUCUCUCUCUCGUGUUCUUGAGUCGGCACGAUCUUGAUGUAUCGCAAGCUUUGCUAUUAUAUUUAGAUCUUAUGAUGUUUCUCCCCUCUACUCUCUUGUGAUGAAUUGAGUUUUCCCUUUGAAGUUAUCUUAUCGGAUUGAGUCUUUAAGGAUUUGAGAAAACUUGAUGUAUGUCUUGCAUGUGCUUAUCUGUGGUCACAAUGGAAUAUCAUGUGAUCCACUUGAUGUAUGAUUUGUGAUCAACUUGCGAGUUCCGUGACCUCAUGAACUUAUGCAUAGGGGUUGGCACACGUUUUUGUCUUGACUCUCAGGUAGAAAUUUUGGGGCACUCUUUGAAGUUCUUUGUGUUGGUUGAAUAGAUGAAUCUGAGAUUGUGUGAUGCAUAUCGUAUAAUCAUACCCACAGAUACUUGAGGUGACAUUGGAGUAUCUAGGUAAUGUUAGGGUUUUGGUUAAUUUGUGUCUUAAGGUGUUAUUCUAGUACGAACUCUAUGAUAGAUUGAAUGGAAAGAAUAGCUUCGUGUUAUUUUACUACGGACUCUUGAAUAGAUCGAUCAGAAAGGAUAACUUUGAGGUGGUUUCGUACCCUAUAAUAAUCUCUUCAUUUGUUCUCCGCUAUUAGUGACUUUGGAGUGACUCUUUGUUGCAUGUUGAGGGAUUGUUAUAUGAUCCAAUUAUGUUAUUAUUGUCAGAGAAAACUUGCACUAGUGAAAGUAUGAACCCUAGGCCUUGUUUCCUAGCAUUGCAAUGCCGUUUGUGCUCACUUUUAUCAUUAGUUACCUUGCAGUUUUUAUAUUUUCAGAUUACAAAACCCUGUUCAUGGAGCGAGGUGGGACUAAAUUUUUGGAGUAAGCUUAGCAGUAGCGGGCAUUGCCAGAAAGCACUACUGCUAUGAUCAGUAGCAGUAGCGCUCUUUGUAUUAAGGCGCUGCUGCUAUAACUAGCUUGACGGUGGGGUCGUGGCAAUUAUAGCAGUAGCGCGGCUUAUCGCAGCCGCGCUACUGCUACAUUUAUUUUAGCAACGCGUUUCAUGGGCACGCGCUACUGCUACGUAGCAGCAGCGCGUUGUUUUAAAGCGCGCUACUGGUAAGAUUCUGUGUAUAUGCUUUUCCCUAGUAGGCUAGGUCAAUAUGUCAUGUAGAUGAAGAACUUGGUCGAAAGCGGGACGCCAGACUUCCACACCAGACGCCAGUGCUCGGACAUGGUGGACCCAACCUGAUGCAGCAUGUUGGUCGGCUGAUCGCCUCGCCCGCUGCGGUCUCCCGCGUGAGCCCGCCUGCGUACUUUGCUCUCAAAAGGCCGAGACCUUGCACCACAUUCUCACCGGGUGUGUCUUUGCUCGCAUCGUUUGGCAUGCCAUCCUCUCUUGGUGUUGCCCUGGUAUCGCUGCGCCGGACGGGACUUCGGGCUUCUUCGACUGGCUGCAUUCAACCCUUCUCCUUGUGUCGCCGGCCAAGCAGUUGGGGAUCUCUACGAUGGCCGCGGUUACCACUUGGGCCCUUUGGUGUCACCGCAACACCAUCAUCUUCAACAAAAUCUCACCGUCUGCCGCACAUCUCAUCGCCAAGAUCAUGGACGAUGCCUGCUCUAGGGCCUGUGCCGGAGCCAAAAGACUAAGCAAUUUUAUUUAUGUAACAUGAUUCUUUGUACUCGGGGCUGCGCAUCCCCUCUUCUUCUGCUCGCUCGGGUGUCAUGGCCGCGCCAACUUGCGUGUGCACCCAUGACGUCGCCCUGCACUUUCUCCCCUCUGUCAAUGCAAUGAUAUUCGAGAAGAAAAAGGUGAACAGGUCAUCAAAGUUUACUCCGAGCAAGUUUCAUCGAUCGAUGUGGCUACAAAAGACGGGAUUCUACAUAAUGAUCAGGCAUCGCUGUUAAAUUAUUAUCCUUGGUGAAACAUGACAAUCAAUCUAACCAGCUUCCUUGACACUUUUGUUUUCUGAAAUACCAGCAGCUACAGUGUAACACAACAUCUCAUUCAGCCCUUGCAUUCUGGGACACUUUUUUUCGCAUGGUAGGGAGCAACACUAUUACAGCUCGACGGGCACCUUUAUGGAUUUCCUUCUCUCUUUUUUUCGAAUGGUAGGGAGCAACACUAUCACGGUUUUAAUUGAUAUAACCAACACAACUGUUGGAUGUAUCACAUAUACAGCAGGCCAAGUGUUCAACGCCACACACCAAGUGAAUCCCAUCUCUAAUGCCACAACAGGUGCCUGUCGAGCUGUAAUUUCAGUAUUUCAUGGAUUCAACUAAAACUCAACCUUCAACCAACAAAGCAGUGAGGGAGGAAAGCCACCCUUAUUUUAGGUACAAAUAUUUCUACUUACCAAGAGUUAAAAGAAUCUGGUUUUGUUACAAUUGCUGAAUGACUGCUAUGUGACUUAAAUUAUCUGUUGUGACAAUUCUUACAAAAAUGGUGCCAUGCUCAGCUUCUAGUAAAGAUCCUAGAAUAUAGAUUCAACAGUCUAGUCAGGAUUCAUGUGACGGAAUGGUGGUGAAUGGAGGAACUUGUACAUACAUUAUUACCCCAGUCUUACUACAAACAUAUCCAUGAGUUAAUAAUCUUAUUACUUCUCCUCAAGAAGUCCUCUACACUUGAGCAAAAGAAGAAUAUGAAAGAACUAUAUUUUCUGGGUUUGUUUUUAUGUGCCUAAUAUGCUUGUGACUUCGCAAAUUCAGCUAAAAUUUAACCUCCAACCAAUAGAACAGCGACAUGGAAAACCACACUUAUCUUUAGAUUCAGGCCACACUUUUCUACCUACAAAACGUUCACAAAACCCGAGCGACAAAUAUUUCUAGGGAAAUUAUCUGCUGUGGUGAUUAUUGUUUUAAAAAAAGUUACCGUGCUCAGUUUCUAGUAAUGAGAAGACUCAAAAUUGAAGUUAAGUAACCUAGAAAUAAAUUAACACUCUAGUCAGGAUUCAGGUAGGUAAAUGUUGAACUAUACACAAUUAAAACAUACUGGGAAGCAUAGCUACUUGAGUAAAGAGAACGGGGAACUUGUACGUAUAUCUGCCCUAGUCUUGCCGCAAACAUACAUAUAUCACUGAGUGAAUCAUGUUGUUCUCUUCCCCUAAAAUGCCCCUUCCCUCGAGCAAAAAAAAAGAAAGAUAAAAGAACAAUAUAUUUUCUAAGUUCAUAUAGCUGCAUAAUUCCUGACACCAUCAAUAGAAGGCCAUGUAGGAUCACAAAAGAAACUAAUAUUUCUUUACCUUAUAUGAUACAAUAUAGAAGAGAUAAUCCACAGACAAUCCUUUCAAUUCUUUCUUUCUUUCUUUGAAACGGAAUCAAUUCUUAGAAACUCAUAACAACAGAACUACCAUCGAUGAAUAACAAGCUGUACACUAAAGAUAUUUAUUUGCAUAAAUAAAUGGGAAUAAGAAGAUGAAAAUACAAACGAUCUCAAACAUAAUGCACUCCAAUAUCUUAUAUUACCACACAUCGAAAGCUAAAAAGGGGGCCAAAAUAAUUAGUACUAAAUGACAGCAAAUAGAUUAAAUGGUUAGGUGCAUUCAUACAACUAUGCAAGGCCCUUACCCUUACAAAGUCUUGGCUAACAAACAUUGUUCAAGCCACAAAAGGCAUGCACCAGAACACCAGCAGAGAAGAAUACGAAACUGGUAGACAGAGGAAUUGGAGCAUAUCUAAGCAAUGCCACGAAACUAGAAAGUAGGCCCGUACCAACCACUAAUUUUUACAAAGGUAUUGUGCCCUGUUGAGUUCCAGAUGCUGCACUGAGUCUCAGUGACCAGCUGAUGGCAGUUCCGCAAAACAGGGAGUAUAAGGUAGCCCAAUCAUGAACUCAUCGCAGAUAACAUGUACUUUCUGAUUAUCCAUAUCGUAUGACACUGUCUUCUUCUUCUGGUUGGUAAGGAAAAUGACAUUACAAUCUGGAUGAAUUGCAAACAUCUGAUAAAAAUCACCAUCUUUGCGACAAUGCCUUCCGAACAGCUCUGAAACAUUAACAGUAUGCUUUAGGGUCCACUUUCCAGUACCAUAGUCCUCAAGAACCCAAAUAUCGAGUUCACUAUCAUCACAAUAAUCCACCUGCCACGCAUACAAACGCCCUUGAGAUUGCCCAGUCAAAACAAUAUUACAGCUCGUCCAGUCAACUGGCAUUUGAAUCUCCUUCCAAACUUUCCCCUCCACGUCAACUGUGGGUAUUAUUGAAUUACAAAGGGUGGCCAAAUGCAUGGUGCCAUUCAAGAAGACAUGUGUGCGUCUACUACAAUCCACAUGAGUUACGGAGGACCACUUAGUCUGCACGUAAGUCCACUGUCCAGUUUUUGAUGAGUAGAUCGCCAUUUGUCCAGGAAGGUGGUCAGCAUUGUAAGGGGUUGCAAACACCAUAAAGCGGGUUGGGACAGCGGCUUCGAAACCUAAGUAAGUCAUUGGUAUGCCUUUCUUCCAUGGGUGGCUGCACUCUUGAGCCGGAAAUACUACAGGAGGCAGCACAGUCCACUCUUGAGUCGCGGGAUUGCACACAACAUAAUCAUUUUCACACGCAGAACACGAAUUCCAGCAGCUGCAAAGGAGAAGACCUUCGCACAAUUGUUCGACAUGAACGUUUUCGUACCUCUGCCGCAAGAAAGGGAGAGAAGGGUCGACCAGAGGCAGACCUCUCCCGGACAAAUUGCGGAAUUUGAGGACACCGGCGUUCUUGUAGAAGAAGCCGGAGAGGGUCUGUGGCGACCUCUUGAGGAUGUCCCGGGCGGAGCAGAGGACGAGCCACGGCUUGGACACGCACUUGAAGCGGCAGAGGGACCUGUAGGGCACUCGCGAAAGGAUCUCGACGAGGGCGCCCUCGGGGAGGCUCGGCACGGGCUGCUGCUCCAGCUUCUGCUUCUUCUCCUGUCAAUGAUACAAACGGUUCGUUCAGGUUCCCGAUUCCUUUCCUUUCUUGGAUCGAAGAUGGGGGCACACUAGAAGAUUGGAAGGCCUUGUAAAAAAAGAAGAGGGACUUGGAGCAAACCUUGGAAGCUACUGCAGAAAUGGUGGGGAGCUGCGGCGUGUCCUCCUCGCGGUGGACGGUCGCCGGUGGGUGGCUCUGCACCGUGCUGCUGCCAUGCUCGUCUCCUUCUUCUCCUCCUCCUCCUGGCGGCAUCGCCUCCUGCCCGGCCCGCGGAUCCGUGCCUCGAGGCAGUCGACUCGACGGUUGCGACGCCGGCCGCCGCUGCUCGCCGGGGCUAGGGCUCGGGAUGGGGAAUGGGGCGGCGGCUGAUUUGGGAACGUGAGUAACUAACCCGGUGAGAGUGUGUACUCCGUCAUAACGGGCUCGUGGAUUAGUACCAUCAGCAGGUGGCCAUGUAAAAACGGCCCAAUGGAUCAUGGUAGUUUCUCAGACCUCUCGCCUUGUUUCCGAGGAAAAAAGAAACUCCCCUGGGUUUUUUUAUACAUACAUGCACAGUAGUGUAAACGAUAUCUGCAUCAGGGGAAUGUACAUAGCGGUUUUUGUAUGUGUUGGUACUAGUAUAUUCUGAAUUAUUACCUUCUUGCACCUGUUAGUCUUCGAAGCAAUUCCCAAGAUACUCCAUACUGACAUUGAUCUUUGCUAGAUGAAUUAACAGCACUUGUUUUUGACUAAAAAGCAGCAGGGUACUAAUUUUCGUUGAUAGAGGAGUGAAAAUACAAAUGGUGUAUCCGGUAGCAAGAACAAAAAAAGGACUGGUGCGGCACCAAAAGCCAUACAAUAUACACCGGCUCGAGCAAGAAUUAAGGGCAGCUCGAAGAAUGAAGCCAUCAACGCUAAGGGCAACUCUAGCCGAGGAGUUACGCUGGACAUAGCCAAACCCUUAUUUGGUUUAGCUGCUUAAAAAUUGUAGGAGAUGCGUCAUUCNNNNNNNNNNNNNNNNNNNNNNNNNNNNNNNNNNNNNNNNNNNNNNNNNNNNNNNNNNNNNNNNNNNNNNNNNNNNNNNNNNNNNNNNNNNNNNNNNNNNNNNNNNNNNNNNNNNNNNNNNNNNNNNNNNNNNNNNNNNNNNNNNNNNNNNNNNNNNNNNNNNNNNNNNNNNNNNNNNNNNNNNNNNNNNNNNNNNNNNNNNNNNNNNNNNNNNNNNNNNNNNNNNNNNNNNNNNNNNNNNNNNNNNNNNNNNNNNNNNNNNNNNNNNNNNNNNNNNNNNNNNNNNNNNNNNNNNNNNNNNNNNNNUCACUUGUUGAAUGGACCCAUAUCACUGCUGUCAUCGCCUAGCUCUCGUGGAUGAAAAAGCAUCGAGCUUAGUUUCGUCCAAAACAAAGUCGACAGACAAUCAAAGAUGUCAGAGAGCACCCGCGGAGGCGCUAGACGGCCACGGAAUCGCGGCCACACCGGUAAAAUUCUGAAGAUCACAGUUCGGUUGUGGCGAGCUUGGUCGGCGACCGACAAACACGGUCUUAGGAGAAUCUUCCUCUUCGGGAGGCCGCAUGCCGUGUCCCAGCCCUACCGUUGACCCGUAGCCUCGACGUCAACUCAAUGCCGCCGGCGGAUCGAGGCUCUCACCUCCUCUAGCCAUAAAGUGUUCGACGAAUUACAUAGGUAAGAUUUUUGGCUUUUCCAUUGUGUUUUUUGCGGUGAAAUUCAAUAUAAAAUAUUGGGUAGUGUAGAUGAAGAGGUUAAGAGAGAUGUUCUUCGACGACUCUUCGUCCGAGGACGAGGUAGAAGAUGAUGAUGGUUUUGAAAUGGACAAUAUCGUGAUCGUCAACUAGGACAUUAGGCGACCAAGACUAGGAUCACAGUUUGGCCGCUUGUACAUCAAUCGGGGCAGAGAAGAGGCCCAUGAGAAGAUUAUGAAGGAUUAUUUCGGACCCAAUGCAACCUAUCCGGAGAAGUAUUUUCCGCAACAUUUUCGGAUGCACCGAAGUAUCUCCCCGACCAUUGCAAAACUUGUGUGAGGAGCAUGAUCCAUAUUUGUCACUACCUUGUAGAUGGCAUCUAUCCUCGAUGGCCCAUAUUUUGUGAAGACAAUCCCACGUCCUCAAGGAAACCAGAGAUCCCACUUUGCAAAUGCAACAAGAGUAGAGAAGAAAGAAUGUUGAGACAGCUUUUGGUUUGCUUCAAAAGCUCUUUGACAUUGUUCAUGCCCAUGCCAAGUAUUGGAACCCACAUGUCCUAUUGCAAAUAAUGGCAUGUUGCGUCAACCGUGAAGUUCAUACCCAGCUCUAAGAUGAUCUUGUUGAGCACUUGUGGGCACUUCAUAGCAGUUGAUUGUUGUGAUUCUAUCAUGCUCUUUAUCUACUUCAUUUGGACCCUGUCGUAAGUUUGAAUUUGAAUAAUUAAACUUGUAAACUUUGAAUCCGUAAUCUUUAUGAAUUGUGUGAACCUUAAUUAUUAAGUUUGGAUUUAAUAUGUUUGCAAAUAUGUUGUUGAAAUGGAGUAUGUAAAUCAAAAUUUAGAAAAUUGGCGAAGAUCUUUUUUUUAGGGAUGUAGGUUUUAGAAGUUCGGAUAGGAACCGUUUUUAUCUAACUCUUCAAAAUUGAGGAGUUGAGGGUUGAGGGGGUGUUUAAGGGGCUAAAAAUAGGCGGCUACUCCAAUUUGGCUGACCGAUCUAGCACUAAAUUGGUCGCGCACCACCCGUUGGAUCAAGCCGUGGUGCGUCGCUGGAUCAAAAUUCAGACGGAUUUACUCUUUUCUUUAGUUGUCGCGAAGCUAACCUGAUCUGCAGACAUAUCACAAACACAUGUCAAUUUUCAAUUAAGCUGGCUUUGCUCUUUUCUUUAGUUGUCGUGAAAUUAACCUAAUCUGCAAACAUAUCACAAACACAUGUCAAUUUUCAAUUAAGCGGCCGACGUCGACAACGCGUCAUACUACGCAAUAGCUGUCUGAAUUUCUCUGGGUAUUUCUUGCACUUGGAGUGCAACUGUAUCAAAUAGUAUGUGUAGGUGGCAUUCCAUGUCUAAGUCAAAGUUCAGCACGAAUAAGUUUGCUGAAUCGAUGCGUUUGGAACGACACAAGAAGGCUCACCUUGUGGAUCUGACGUCAGUUAAAUUAGUCGCGACGCCUAGCAAUCAGAUGGAUCAGCAAAUACGCCUACAGAAGACUGCACCCGCGACGACAGAUACGUCGAUCUCCGGCCACCAUACAACCACACUGCUACAGCGUGGUUAUCAUCUUAACACUUUUUUGGAAAAAAAAAAUCAUGAGAUCAAAAUGUGAUGGCCAAUUUUCAGUUCCAACGCCUACAGUGUCGCGUCCAACACAACACAACAUCUCAUGCAGUUCUCAGCAUGGCCCGCUGAUAAAUAAGGCUAUCCAACAACUUUUCCUAAGAUUUGAGGUGAAGGUUGUAAUGGAAUCCCAUCUCUAAAUGAUCUUAUAUUUAGUGUCAAAAAUGAUCUUAUAUUUUGGGACGGAAGAAGUACAUUCAGCAAAAACUAAACCUUCAACAAACAAAGCAAUGACAGGAAAACCACCAUUAUCCUUUUGAGUAUAUAAUAAAAGGGUCGUCCUCAACUUCUAGUAAAGAGCAGGACCGAAAAUCAAAGUUGGGCAACCUAGAACACAAAUUUGACAAUCUAGUUAGGAUUCAUGUAAGGGAAUGGCGAGCUCUAUCGGAACCAAAAUUAAUGACACAUGUAUUGAGAACCAGUAUUAUUUAGUGUACUAAAUUCAGCAUUUUUUUGAAAAGAGGGGACUCCCCGCCCUCUGCAUCAGAACGAUGCAUACGGCCAACUUAUUAAAAAAAUAGGUUUAACAAGGUCUUAAAGUCUCAAUUGAAAAUAAAGAAGAGCUCACAAAGAGCCAAAAGAACCAAAAACAAACUAGCCACAAAAAGCCACAACCCGCUGACAUAAGAGAGAUAGGUAAACUAAUUGCCCAUCCUAUUACAUGACCGCCAUCCAAACCGGUUGAAGAUCCCGUGCUACCAUCUCCCAGCGGAUAGAUCCAGUAACCAAAUGCUCCCUGGCCUCCGUCGGAGUGAGUAGCGACCACAUACGGAUCAACGCAGUGACUCGGAAAAUAACCUGCAAAAAAUGAAUAUUUUUUGUUUUGUUAAAAAACAAAUCAUUUCUGCAGUUCCAGACUGCCCACAAUAAAGCACAAACUCCUACGCGAAUGUGUCUCGCUGUUUCGGGCUCUAUCCCGUUAAGCCACGUUCCAAAUAACGUGUUGACAGAACUCGGUGGAGUAAUAUUAAAUGCAAUAUGGACUGUCCACGAUAGAACUUUGGCUAACUGGCAAUCAAGAAAAAGGUGUUUGAUAGUUUCAUCCCGAUCACAGAAACUACACCUAGUAGGUCCUUUUCAAUUACGCUUUGCCAAAUUGUCCUUGGUUAAUAUUACUUGUUUAUGGACAACCCACAUAAACACUUUGAUUUUCAAAGGAACUUUGACAGCCCAAACAUGUUUUGAACUAGGAAUCGAGCUUGAAUUGAUAACAUCAAGAUACAUUGAUUUAACAGUAAACUCUCCAGACCUAGUAAGAUUCCAGCGUAAUUUAUCGAGCUGUUGAGAUAGCUGAACCUCCAUCAGUCUACUUACUAGAUGAAGCCAUUCUUCCCAACGAUUGCCAACUAUUGUCCUUCUGAACUGAAUAUUAAGGGGACUGGAUUGAAGUACCGUUGCAACGAACGCCUCACGUCGUUGAACAAUACGAUACAGAGACGGGUAUUGAAUGGCAAGGGGGGUCUCUCCGAGCCAAGUAUCCUCCCAGAAUCGCGUGCUAGCACCGUUGCCAUUAAUAAACUUUGUCCUAUUAAACAAGGUUAAUUUGACUUUCAUAAGCCCUUUCCAAAAAGGUGAGUCAGUCGGCCUUGCUGUCACCUGGGACAAAGUUUUGGAGUGAAGAUACUUGCUACGGAGGAUCUGCGUCCAAGUGGCAUCAGUCUCUACCGAUAACUUCCACAGCCACUUGCUAAGAAGACAUCUGUUCUUGACCUCAAGAUUCUCAAUACCAAGACCCCCUUGGUCUUUCGGUCGACAGAUGAUAUCCCAUUUGGCGAGUCUGUAUUUUCUUUUUAGUUCAUCGCUCUGCCAGAAGAACCGUGAUCGAUAGAAGUCCAGUCUUUUCCUAACUCCAACUGGGACUUCGAAGAACGACAAAAGAAACAUAGGCAUACUCGUGAGAAUCGAGUUUAUCAGAAUUAAUCGGCCUCCGUAUGACAUGAGCUUGCCCUUCCAGCAACUCAGUUUCUUUUCAAAGCGGUCCUCGAUGCACUUUCAUUCUUUGUUUGUAAGCUUACAAUGGUGGAUUGGUAUAUCUAGAUAUGUAAAAGGUAAAGUUCCCAAUUCGCACCCAAACAAUUGCCUAUAUGCCUCUUGUUCGUCAUUGGCUCUAAUUGCACGUUCAAUCAACAAAGCAGUGACAGGAAAACCACCUUUAUCCUUAUUACUAUUACAAACAAAAAAAAGUUGCCGUGCUCAACCUCAACAACUAAGGAGCAGGACCCAAAUCAAAUGAACAACUUAGAACAGAAAUUUAACAGUCUAUUUAGGAUUCAUCCAAGGGAAUGGCGAGCUAUAUCAAAACCAGAAUUAAGAGUGCACAAGUACUUUAGUGAUGAAUGGUGAACCUGUAUGUAUGUUAGGGCAUCUCCAGCCGUUGGCCCCCCCAGGGGGCGUCUAAAAGCGCCGCCUGGGGGUGAGACGGCGCAAAAAAUAGCCCUGGGGGCGAGUCGGUCCCCAGCCGUCGGCCCCCAAGGCCGCCCCCAGGCGCGUAUUUAGAAAAAGACCGUUCGGCAAAGUUAUGAUAAAAACUAGUUAAAUUUCGGCCAAACAUGGCAAAUUUCGGUGAAAUUCGCGCAUUUUCAUUACAUUAACCUAAUCUAAAAAAAGAAAAGGGCUGAAGUCGUCGCCGCCGUCGCCGCCAUCGUCGUCGUCGGCCUUCUCCUCCUUGACGCGGGCGCCCCUACUGGACCCCUGCCCGGCGUCACCAUGGCGGACUGGCGGCGGCGCGUCGUCGUCGUCGUCGCUGUCGCAUAAGACGACGACCCCGUCUUCAACGCGGCCGCGUCGGCGCUCCUCCAAGUGGCGCAGGAUGGCGCGCUGGCGUUCCUUCUCCUUCUCCUUCUCCCGGCGCGCCUUCUCCAUCGCAAUGGAGUCCUGGCGCGCCCAUUAUAGGGUCGCGUCGUCGUCGUCGAACUCCGCCUCCAUCGGCGCCAGCCCCGGCUCCGUCUUCACCGGCGCCAGCCCCGGCUCCAUCUUCGGCUUGACGAAGCGCGGAGGAGCCGACGAGGAGGGGGCGCGCCGGCCGCCCUCGUUGAUGACGAUGCCGACGCUGCGAGUGCGCCGGCCGAUUGGCAUCUCCGCCGCGGGCUCGGCCUUGACGCCGAGAAGCGCCGGAGAACCGGAGGAGUGGGAAGAUGAGCGAGAGGAGGAAGAUGAGGAGGAGGCGAACCUCCUUGGCGCCCAUGCGCGUCGGUGUUGUGACGGGGCGGCCCCCGUCGCAGGUUAGGUCAACGGCGGUUUGUUGCCGCCGUCGAGGUGCGUCAGCACGCCCUCCAGCGUGCGGCCCAGGACGCCCCAUCACAGGUGGCGCCCCACACUGUUCUUCAUGCCGCCGACCACCGGCGCGUCGUUGGUGGAGACCAGGCGCUGCUGUUGGCGGCGCUGGAAGUACGCCGCCCAAGCCGCGUGAUUGCCGGUGGCGUACUGGGGGAGGGAGCGCUCGUCGUCGGUCAGGGAGGCGCGCGCGACCUUGACCUCCUCGGCGAAGUACGUGGGCUUCGCCACGGCGUCGGGUAACGGGGGAACAUGCACUCCCCCGUCGCUGAGCCGCCACCCCGUCGGCCCGGCGCGCAUGUCCGGCGGCGCCGGGGUGUUUGCCUGGAACAGGAGCCAGGACUCCUGUCCGCGGAGCGAACACCGGCCGAAGCCGUUCGCCGCCGCCUCGUCUCCGGGGAAGCGCUCUGCCACGGCGACGGGCUCGGCGGUGGUAGAGAGGGAGAGAGAGGGGCUGCCGGUGCCGCUCGGGAGAGGAAGACGGAGACGGAGAGAGAGGGGCUGGGCGGCGGCGAGGGGCGAGUCUGGUGUGGGCACCGGCGAGAACCGCCGGCUUUUAUAGCCGCUCCGCGCCCGUGUGUACGCGUGCGAGGGAGGGGAGGCGUCGGCGCGCCGUCCCGAGACGCGCCGCCCGUGUGGAAUCAAUGGCAAGGCUGACCGGCGGUAGCCUUGCCAUUGAUUCCAGCAGGAACCGAGGCAGUUGUGGGGAAGACGAGCCGCCGUGUCCCUGACGCGGCUGGCCCGCGGCUUUUUCGCGCCAAAACAGUUCGCCCUGGCGCCCCCGGGCGCCCCCCAGCGUGCCGGGUUCGGCCUGGGUCCGCCGGCGUUGUUUUCGGCCCAGGCCGGCGAAAAUCGGGCUCCUGAGACACGACUGGGCCGUUUUUUCGGCGCCGGCGCAAAAAAAAAACGUCUGGAAGACAUUUCUGGAGGCGCGGCUGGAGAUGCCCUUAUCACCCCGGUCUUACUACAGACAUAUAAGUAUCAAUGAGUGAAUCACGUUGUUUGCUGCCCCUCAAAAGAUCCUCUUUCCCGAGCAAAAAAGAAGAUGAAUUGACUGUCUUCCAGGUUUGUUUAGCUGCACAUUUCUCGACACCAUCAAUGGAAGUCCAUGCGGGUAACAUACAAGAAACUAAUAUUUCUUUACCAUGCCUCUACCCCUAUAUGCUGCGAUAUAAAAGAGACGAUCCACAAACAAACAUACCAAAUCUUACAAAUGCAUAAAAGCAGAGGUAGCAUCGAUGGAUAACAAGUUGCUAUACGUUGAGAAGAAAUGAUCCACAGAUAAUCACAUCAAAUCUUUAAAAUGCAUUAAAAAGGAGCAUCGAUGGAUAGCAAACUGUAGACUGGAGAUAUUUACUUGCAUAAAACAAACGGAAAUAAAGAGGUGACAAUAACACAGAUAAUGUAGUCUCAAUAUCUUAUAUUACCCACAUCAGGGGCUAGCGAGUGGCCAUAAUAAUUAGUGCUACAUGACAGCAAAUAGAUUAAAUAGCUAGGUGGAUUCUUACAACUAAGCAGUACCAUUAGCCUUACAAAGUCUUGGCUAAUAAACAUCGUUCAAAGCAACGAUGGCAUGCACCUGAACACAAGACUGUUCACAUAGGAGUUGGGACUUCUCCACGCAAUGCCACAAAAUCAGGAGAGUAGGUACAUAGCAACAAACUAAGUUUCGCAAAAGGUGCUGUCCCAUUAUAGGCACAUGAUGUAGCACUGAAUCUCAGUGACCAGCUGAGGGCAAUUCCGCAAAACAGGGAAUAUAAGGCAGACCAUUCAUGCCUUCAGUGCAGAUAACAUGCACUUUCUGAUUAUCCAUGUCAUACGACAAUGUCAAGUUUUUCUUGUCAGUAAGAAAAAUCAUGUUGCAAUCCGGAUGAAUUGCAAACAUCACAUAAGAAUCUCCAUCUUUACGGCAAUUCCUUCCAAACAGCUCCAAAACGUUAACAGUAUGCUUUAGGGUCCACUUUCCAGCAUCAUAAUCCUCGAGGACCCAAAUAUUGAGUUGGCAAUCACGAGAAUUAUCUAUCCACCAGGCAUACAAGCGUCCUUGUAAAAAGGCCCUUACUUCCAAAGCUGCAAGGGAGUGCGACAAGGGGACCCGCAUUCACCUUUCUUAUUCAAUAUGGUUGUGGAAGCCUUAUCCAAAAUGAUCCUGAAAGCUCAAAGAGAGAAAUUGAUAACAGGUCUGGCUCCGGACCUGAUUGAUGGGGGGUAGCUAUCCUCCAAUAUGCAGACGAUACGGUUGUGUGUUUUGAGCAUGAUAAAGAUGUUGCGGUUAAUCUGAAACUCUUACUUUAUUUGUUUGAGCUUAUGUCAGGGCUUAAGAUUAAUUUUCUGAAAAGUGAAAUUUUGUGUGUUGGAGGGGAUGAUGAGGUUCUUGCGUUUCAUUCAAAACUCUUCAAUUGUCAAAUUGGCCACUUCCCUAUGAAGUAUUUAGGGGUGCCUGUGAGCUAUUCUACCCUCCGUGCGAUUGACUGGGAUUUUUUUGAUGACAAAUUCCUCAAGUGCUGUGAAUCCUGGAUUGGUAAUGCAGCCUCCUUAGGAGGAAGAUUGACUCUUCUCAACUCGUCCCUUACGAGCAUUGUUUUCUUUUACAUGUCUAUUUUUAUGCUUUCUAAGAAGAAUAUUGAGAAGCUAGAUAAACAUAGGAAAAAGUUCUUUUGGCAAGAGACUGACGGUCGGAGAAGAUAUCACUUGGUUAGAUGGUCUAGGAUCUGCAGAUCCAAGAAUAAAGGGGGUUUGUGUUGGAAAUAUGCCCUAGAGGCAAUAAUAAAUUAGUUAUUAUUAUAUUUCCUUGUUCAUGAUAAUCGUUUAUUAUCCAUGCUAGAAUUGUAUUGAUAGGAAACUCAGAUACAUGUGUGGAUACAUAGACAACACCAUGUCCCUAGUAAGCCUCUAGUUGACUAGCUCGUUGAUCAAUAGAUGGUUACGGUUUCCUGACCAUGGACAUUGGAUGUCAUUGAUAACGGGAUCACAUCAUUAGAAGAAUGAUGUGAUGGACAAGACCCAAUCCUAAGCCUAGCACAAAGAUCGUGUAGUUCGUAUGCUAAAGCUUUUCUAAUGUCAAGUAUCAUUUCCUUAGACCAUGAGAUUGUGCAACUCCUGGAUACCAUAGGAAUACUUUGGGUGUGCCAAACGUCACAACGUAACUGGGUGGCUAUAAAGGUACACUACAGGUAUCUCCGAAGUGUCUGUUGGGUUGGCAUGAAUCGAGACUGGGAUUUGUCACUCCGUGUAAACGGAGAGGUAUCUCUGGGCCCACUCGGUAGGACAUCAUCAUAAUGUGCACAAUGUGACCAAGGAGUUGAUCACGGGAUGAUGUGUUACGGAACGAGUAAAGAGACUUGCCGGUAACGAGAUUGAAUAAGGUAUCGGGAUACCGACGAUCGAAUCUCGGGCAAGUAUCGUACCGCUAGACAAAGGGAAUUGUAUACGGGAUUGAUUAAGUCCUUGACAUCAUGGUUCAUCCAAUGAGAUCAUCGUGGAACAUGUGGGAGCCAACAUGGGUAUCCAGAUCCCGCUGUUGGUUAUUGACCGGAGAGCCAUCUUGGUCAUGUCUACAUGUCUCUCGAACCCGUAGGGUCUACACACUUAAGGUUCGAUGACGCUAGGGUUAUAAGGAAUAGAUAUACGUGGUUACCGAAUGUUGUUCGGAGUCCCGGAUGAGAACCCAGACGUCACAAGGAGUUCCGGAAUGGUCCGGAGGUAAAGAUUUAUAUAUGGGAAGUCCUGUUUUGGUCGCCGGAAAAGUUUUGGGGUUUUUCGGUAGCGUACCGGGACCACCGGGAGGGUCCCGGGGGUCCACCAAGUGGGGCCACAAGCCCCAGAGGGCUACAUGGGCCAAGUGUGGGAGGGGACCAGCCCCAUGUCACAUCCCUAGUUCUAUUAAUGCCUAGUGCUAGCAUCUGGUGUUGCAUCAUGUUUAAAUUUCAGUUAAACCUGAAAUGGGGAUUGCCUAAACCCUAGCACCAAAUGAAUUCAACUAGGUUCAAUAAAAAAAAUAUUUUCAACGAUCCCAAUUGCCCUUUAGAAAAGUUCAUGAUUUUUGUUAAAGGUGAAAACCUCUGCCAAAAGUCAUGCACAUAUUUCUAGGCCAUUCUGGAUUUUUGAACUAAAUCAUAUAGUAUUUGAAUUUGGGCAUUUAAAUACUAUAAAAUAAUUAAAAUGUUCAAAUAAUCCUAAACUGAAAUGUUCCAUGUUGGAUAUAUUCCAAACAGUGGCCAUGAGCAGUUUGGAGAUUUUUGAGUGUGCCUAAGUAUUUUUAAUAAAGCCCAGAACAAAAUAACAAAAUAGAAAAGAGAAAUAAAAUAGAAAUGGAGAGAGAGAACCUCACCUGGCCUCACUGUGCAGCCCACCUAGUCGGGCCAGCUGGCGGCCCAGCCAGCUGGCCAGCCCACCGAGGGCAGGGGCGUCUUCUUCCUCCUGCCAGAAGGCAGAGGAGAAGACAGCCACGGCGCCGCGGCGUGCCAUGCCGGCAGCUGCCUGCCUGGCUGCCCCCUCGUCGCCCUGGACUCCCUCUGCGACGCCACGCUACCCCCCUGGACCCCCUUGAUGCUCUCGCUCUCUCCCUCGCUCUCUGCUCCCUCUACCGAGCACACACGAGCGGAGCUCGUCGUCGCCGACGCAAUUUGCCGCGACCACCGCCGUCCCAACGAUGCCCCGAGCUGUUCCCGAGCUCCUCCACCUCGUCGCCAACCUCCUCACCGACUCACGCCACCAGGAGAGCCCCGAAACGACGGCCUCAACGUCAUCUCCAACCACGGCUGACCGAGAUCGCCGCCGUCAAUUCGCCGUCGCAGAAGCUUCCCCGAGCCCGCUGAGUUUCUCUCCCGACCCCUUGUGAGCUCCUGCACCUUCCCUAUGCUCGCCCCCUCUCCGUUUCUCUCCGCUAGCUCGAUUCCGCUGGAGCCGAGAGCUCAUCGCCGCCGUCCAUGGUGCCGCCGUCGUUUUAGCCACCAUAGCUCGUGCCUGAUCGCGUCAACGCGUUCGGUGCCUUCCCAGGAGCAUGCAGCUCCCACCAGCUCCUCCUCCCGAGCACCCUAACGCCGAGCCCGCACCAACCCCGAACUCCGGCCGCCGCCUUUGAGCUCGUGGCCGUCGACUCCGGCCACCCCAGGCCCGGCUACUGCCACCAGGUGACACGCUGCAACGCCAGCUACCCGUAGAGCCCAACCGCGGCUCAAACCGCAGCCUGUACACGAAACCCGAGCAACUCCGGCGAGUUGCCGCCACGGUUUUGGUCGCCGGCGACUUAACUCCGGCCGUGCCGACGUGGCACCAUCAUUAGUGGCUAAUGACGCCACUAAACUAACCCCUAGCUCACUGACGAAUGGACCCCACAGUUAAUUAACCCCGGGUUUAGUUUCCUGUUUAGAUUAGUGCUAACCCUAUGGACCCCACGUGUCAGCUUUGACGUUGGUCAAGUCAACAUUGGCCGGUCCCACUUGUCAUCCACCCAAACCAGCCUGAGACACUGACGUGUGGGUCCCAGUCAUCAGGUUUGACCUGGGCUGACGCCUUUGACCUGCUGAUGUCACGGUGACGUAAUGUUGAUGCAAUAAUUCAUUUUCUGGAAUUAGUUAAUUCUAAAUAAUUCAGAAAAUUCCAGAAAAUUGCCUAAACUUCUAAAAAUCAUAGAAAUUCAACCGUAACUCCAAAUAAAAUAAAUUAUAUAUGUAAAAUUAUCAGAAAAAUUCAAGGAAUCCAUCUGUACACUUUUCAUGCAUGUUUGAACAAUGUUUGUCCUCUGUUUUGGACAAAACAAAUACAGGGCACUUAAAUAAACAUAUAUGGAGUUGGAAUUUGAAUCUUGUAUUCAAACCAACUUCAUUUAAAUCAUAACUAGAUGCAUUAGCUCAAAUCACAGCAUAUUGCCAUGUCAUGAUCAUGCAUCAUAUUGUCGCAUAUGCAUUGAUUGUGUUCUUCUCUUUUGCCGGUGUUUGUCCCCCUUCAGUAGACGACGUUCUGACGAUGUGUUCGAUGACACUGAUGAAAAACUAUUACUAUCUUCAGAAGUGCCAGGCAAGCACAACUCGCUUGUUCAUUCUGAUACAAGCCCACUCUCUCGCUCCUGCUCUCUUUUACUGCAUUAGGACAACAACGAUCAUCUGUUACUUGUUGCGGUAGUUGAACCCCUUAUCCUCUGCAUGACCUGUCAUUGCCACAGUAAAUAGAUGAAACCCACUAGCAUGAGUAGGAGUUGUUUGAGCCCUGAUGUGCCUACUCAUUCAUGCUUGUUUGUCAUGCCUGCUACUGCUUAGAGUUGGGUCAGGUCUGAUUCAUCGGGGAUGAAUCGGAGGUGUGUAAACAUGCCCUACUGUGUGUGAGCUAAGUGUGUGAAAACGUUUUGGUAAAGGUAGCGGUGAGAGACCAUGUAGGAGUACAUGGUGGGUUGUCUCAUUGAAACCGUCCUCGGGAACUGAGUUCUGUGUCUGUGAUCCAUGAACAGCUACUACCACUCAUUGGGAUCCUUAAUUGACCCUCUCAGCUUCUUAAUCACCCUAGUACUCUGUCCAGGAGUUGCAACUAGUUUCUGGUGUUUGUAGGUUAUGUGUUGGCGGCCGUGCGUAGCGCUGACCCUAGGGGUGGGCUAUGAUGCGGUAGAUACACCAUGGCCGGGCAUGCCGGGCGCCCGUUUGGUGUCUCGGAACCCUGUACACAUCAUUCAGGGCCGUAUGUGGAAACCUCGGCCGGACUCCCUGCGGAUGGAACCUGGAUAGGCGAUAAACCUGGACUAGAGACUUGAGUGUUUAGGUAGGCCGUGGCCGACACCCUCGUUGGGCUUCCGCUUGAAGGUUGCCGAGUACAUGUCAUGUAAAUGGCGGUAAGUGGUGAGAGCGUGUGUGAAGAAGUACACCCCUGCAGGGUUAACAUCAUCUAUUCGAAUAGCCGUGUCCACGGUAAUGGACUUCUGGGUUGCCUAUAACAGUUCAUAGACAAGUGAAAAUGGAUACUCUAAAACUCGCAAGAUAAGUGUGAGUGCUAUGGAUGGCCUUCUCGUAGGGACACGGGAGCGGAUCCAUAGUGGUGUAUUGAAUGGUGAAUAUGUGGACUCGUGUGCGCCACCUCAAAAGAGUUGCUUGCAGUCGUAGUUCAGGUUAGCCACUGAGUCAAAGCUGGCUUGCUGCAGUUAAACUCCACCACCCCCCCUUUAUUGAUACUGAUGCAUAUGUAGAUAGUUCUGAUGUAAGUCUUGCUUGGUACAUUUGUACUCACGUUUGCCUAUUUUAUGUUUUGCAGAGAGACGUCAGUCUCACUAGUAGUUCCGUGUGGACUUUGACGUUAGCUUGAUACCUCAGCUACGAUCUUGUGCCCUCGGCAGGAUCUGGUAGAUAGUCAGGCUUCUCAGCCUUUUUCAUUUGUAGAUGUCUGUACUCAGACAUGUUAAGCUUCCGCUUGGGUUUUGACUUGUAUGCUCUGGAUGUUGGGCCAUGAGACCCAUGUUUGUAAUAUCUCGCUCCUCGGAGCCUGAUGAGUAAAUACUUGAGUCGUAGAGUCUUGUUGUGAUGCCAUGUUGUAUUUACACAUAUCGAGCAUAUUGUGUGUAUGAUUGAAAUGCUUGGUAUGUGUGGGAUCCGACAAUCUAGUUGUUUAUCCUUGGCAGCCUCUCUUAUGGGGAAAUGUAGUCUAGUUCUUCCAUGAGCCAUAGUAGUCCGCUACAGCCGGUUCGCCGGAGUCCUGCUAGCCCAGCACUACUGCUCAGGACACUUAACUGGCCGGCAUGUGUUUCACUUCGUUCCCGUGUCUGUCCCUUUGGGGAAAUGUCACGCGGUGACAUCCGGAGUCCUGCCUAGCCUGCUACAGCCCGGGUUACCGGAGUCCUGUUAGCCCAGUGCUACAGCCCGGAUUCACACGCUGCUGACCGACAUGCUCGAUGUGAUUCAUGUAUGUCUGUUCCCAUAGGUUGGUGCCGCUUUGGGUUCACGACUAGCCAUGUCGGCCUGGGUUCCCUGUCAUAUGGAUGCUAGCGACACUAUCAUAUACGUGAGCCAAAAGGCGCAAACGGUCCCGGCCAUGGUAAGGCGACACCCAUGGGAAUACCGUGCGUGAGGCCGUAAAGUGAUAUGAGGUGUUACCGGCUAGAUCAAUGUGACUUGGAAUCGGGGUCCUGACAGCAUUGGUAUCAGAGCCUGACUACCUGUAGGAUUACCAAGCCAAACUGGUCGAAGUCGAGUCUAGAAAUGCUUUAGUUAUGUAAGGGAAUUGAUUGUGGAAGGGAACGUAAGGUUCUUUUUACUCCUUUACCCUAUGCCCUUCUGAUCUGAGUCAACCUCUUCUUUUCUACGGGGAUUAAGAAUUAGGCCUUCUCAUCUAUCUAUCAGGAUGAUGUGCUACUAAUCCAUAGACUUAUAUAAUUGAUAGUUUCAAGCUUCAGUUCCGUUCCUACUACUUCCGUAUGUUGACAGUUGAUCUCAGAACCUUGAUAUUGUGUUGUUGAGUGGUUAUGCCACCAUUUUGCAGGAUGUCUCAAAUCAUUUUGAGCAUUUACAAUCUUUAUGCUGUCCGAGUCAUCCCAGGUUUCUAACUAGUCUGAUGCAUUUGCAAAUUCCUUCUUCCGUUACCGACGUUCCUUUGGGCCAGUUUAUCCACACUAAUCGGUGAGUUGAGGUACUCUGUUGCCUCGACAUAUAUGUUGGAGCUAUUAUUAUGACCCUAGGUGUUGUAGGGAGUCACCUAGUAAUCUAGCCAUGUUUUGUGUUCCCGGUGUGAUAAUUCUGACCACCAUUCUCGAAAGCAUCCCGUGAUGCCAUUUAGUGGUAGGUAUUCUAUUCAUGGGUUCUUGAACCCGAGAUUCCUCCUACUUAUCUCAUGUUGAUAGUGUUGCUAGUUCCUUUAGGAUAUUAGUAACCUUUGCGAUAGUCCUCGAGGUCCGUGGUAUUUCCUCCUUCCAAAUACUAUGAACCACUUAUGGCAGAAGUUUGUUGGAUCAAAAGAUCACAACCAGAGUGCUCUUGAUGAGUUCUCCAUUCUGCAUUGUGAAUCUGCCAGUCCUACCUUUCUUCAUGGGUUAUCCGGAAGAAAUAACAUGCUAAUCCAUGCAUCCAUACCUCAGAAAAAUUAUAUGUUCCUUUGAGUUGUUCCUCUUUAGUUGUAUUCUGAACCUCGUCCAUCAAUUGUUGGUCAAGAGUAGUUGUGCAUUGGUGUUAUCGAUGCCUAUUAUUCAUGUGAUCCGUCAAGCCAUUCCAUUCCGGAAUGACUAGGAGAAACAAACUCCAGUACCUCAUCCAUAUCCAGGAUUGGGUCAAAGCAGUUGUAUUCCGCGGAUCAAAGUGACAAUCCAGCUUUUGAUUCUGUUCAACCCUUAAGUAUUGCCCACUUUAUGUCAGGAAUAUCAUAGGAAUUGCACAACCUCCUAUGAACUCUUGAUACAGUGAUACUUCUCACCGUCAUUAUUCAUUCCUCGGUUCCGUGUUGUUGUAACCGGGAUGCCGACAAGUGAAUUGUGAUGUGUGAAAUCAAUACUCCAAGAAACUCGUUGCUUUGUAGUAAUGGACAAUAUUCUUAUUCCUAGCGUGUUGGUUUUUGAGCUACCAUUCUAAGAUUGACCGUGCUACCUAGUCCAUAUCUCCGGGUGCACUCAUCGACCAAUGAGUUAGGAUUGUGACAAUCCCUCGCUCCUUGAUCAUAUCGUCUUGCCCUGAAAAGCAAGAUUGUUCUCGAGCUUAAUAACAUAUCAGUGGUUCAUGAUUUUCCGAAUAUUUUCUCGGAAGUAUUACUAGGUUGUUCCCUGAUCGCUAUGUUGAGUUCGUGAUCAUGCUGGUUUUUCUCUAAACCAUCCAUUCUCCAAGAAUCUGUGUUGGAUACCCCCGAGCUAGAUGGUUAAGCUAAACAACAACUUGGAGAUUUGGAAGAUAAAAGGCUUUGCCGAAUUUGGUUCUUUCUGAAGGGAUAUCUUUGUGUUGUGGGUGUGUUGAAGAAAGAUGAUAUCUUCACCAAUUGGUCCUCGUGAUCAGUUGUUGGAUCUGUUAUCUUGUCAAAACUUUGACUUGAGUAUGGGCUAUUGUCGAGUCAAAUCAGAACCAACGAUGUUCGUAGUGUUGUCUUACUCGUGGUUGAUCCCUCGAGAAUACACCAUUACAUCUUUUGGUCUGACCAAUGCUAUCACCGUGUUCACAUGAUGGUGGAAGUCCAGUGAUAUGGAAAUUCCGAUGAGUUGUUAUUGAGCCCAUCAGCAACAUUUUGUCUCCUCCAUGAUUCGUGUUGAACAUCCAGCUAGUGUUGGAAAUUUUGUAAGCAUUAUCUUCGUGAUCCGUUCAUGAAGCCUGUGCUUGGAUGAAAGGAGUGACUUCCUUUGAUUCACGUCCAUUAGAUGUAAGUUGUCGCCGUGAAUUCAAGAAAGCUUGUUUUUGUUUCCUCUAGAAUCAUCCCAAAUCAGUCAUGCAUACGUGCGAAGUAUUCUAUGGUUUGGUAGAUUGAUUACCUCCACUCCAUAUGUAUUCCCUAGCACACCAAGCCACUAAUUGAUUUGUUCAAGGAGAAGAAGUUCCUUCCUAAGAGCAAGACUUAUGUAAGGACUUCGAUAUCCUUGAUGAUGGUUCCCCACCGAACUCGGUAGUGUUUUACUGUAAGACUACUACGUGGUCAUGCUUGUCUUGGACAACGGGUUCACAGGUUUGUAGUAGAACCAGCUCAUGUUUUGGAGCUUAUUAUCGUAGUUCAUUCCCCGAGAAUCUCGCAACGUCAUCUCAUCGAUUUGUGUUGCAAACCUUCAUUUUCCUUUCUAGACUCGAUGAGUCUGGAAUAUCCUGUCACCAACCAGAUCUGAAUCUCAGGCAGAUAUGAUGGUUGGAGCAUUUCCCAAGAACUAUAAUAUUGGUCCCUCAAUAACCGGUAAAGUGGAUGUCAUGGCCAACACAUCCAGCCGGAAGGCCUAUUAUUGUAGUAUCUCGAUUGAAGAAAGUUUGCCACCUCCCCAUGAGGAUUUCGUAGGAUUUACCUCCGUAGUUAAUCCUUACGGAUUCUUGUGCUCCCGAAGUCCGACCUUUACUUGAUGUCCUAGAUACCAAACCGUAUCAAUAAAUGGGUUAUCCUAGCACAUCAAGGAAAACAUUUGAAGCGGAGUGCUAAAUGUCUCUCGGUCGAUCAUCCAGAUUUUGUUUCCUUGGCCUCACUAAGGUGAAAUCUGAGAAAGUGUUAUCUUCCUUUGCAUCUGCAUUAUCCAUCACCAUUCAUCAUGGUGGUAUGUUGUGUUGCCAGGAUCCUUGACAUGGAUAUUGGUAAAACCUUGAUGAAUAUGGAGAUGCUCAAGUUCUUGAGAGCACGCGCAAGCACUAGGUUUUAUCGUUGGCAUUAACUGGGAUUUGCUUCAUGUUUCCUCGGUUAUGUUAUAACCUUUUCAAACAGUGGACUCACUCUAGACUGUUGAGCUCUCCCCAGUUACUAGAAUCAUUCCUAGCAUUUGCAUUUUGUUCCCAGCUUGCACCGCCAUUGUGUCAUCCUACUACGGACUACCCUUCUCAGUAAUUACUGAUCAGGAUCAACUUCAAAGUGGUCCUACCACAAGUUCCAUCCAUCUCCGAUGAUAAGCAAAAAUCAUCCAUUGUGUUGUCUUCAACAAGGUAGUCCACAUCAUCCAUCCUAGUCCAAGUAUGCCAUCUCUUCAAGCUACCUCAAACGAUCAAUUGUAAAUUGCCUUAAGCUGGUAUGAAGAGUUUCAAUGAUCUCUGAAUCAAAAGUAAUUCUUUUUGCCACUUAAGGGAAUAUUUCUGCGAGUCACUUUCCUUAAGAUGUCUCGUUAUGGUAUCAUGGCAAUUUCCCUCGCUACUUUGAAACCCUCGUCAAAUUGUUUCUUCUAUCGCUCUUGAUGCAAGUUUUGCCUCUCAGCUCCAGAGAUGUUCCUAUGUCUCACUCCAUGAGUUGAUCCUGAGUUGUUCGAUCUUCGAGAAGAUCGAUCCUUCUAGAGUUUUCCCUUCCCUCUCGUUGUCAUGUUGGUUGGAGUUCUCAGAGCAAGACAUCGAGACAAUGAUGGUGAUCGAAUCAACAACCUUAUGAGAUGCAACCUGGAUCAUCAAGAUUAUGUUAGCUUGUGUUUCCCCUUCAUCUUACCUCACGUCUUGAAUCUCGGGCCGAGCUUCUUGUUUAGAGGGGGUGAGUUGUCACAUCCCUAGUUCUAUUAAUGCCUAGUGCUAGCAUCUGGUGUUGCAUCAUGUUUAAAUUUCAGUUAAACCUGAAAUGGGGAUUGCCUAAACCCUAGCACCAAAUGAAUUCAACUAGGUUCAAUAAAAAAAUAUUUUCAAUGAUCCCAAUUGCCCUUUAGAAAAGUUCAUGAUUUUUGUUAAAGGUGAAAACCUCUGCCAAAAGUCAUGCACAUAUUUCUAGGCCAUUCUGGAUUUUUGAACUAAAUCAUAUAGUAUUUGAAUUUGGGCAUUCAAAUACUAUAAAAUAAUUAAAAUGUUCAAAUAAUCCUAAACUGAAAUGUUCCAUGUUGGAUAUAUUCCAAACAGUGGCCAUGAGCAGUUUGGAGAUUUUUGAGUGUGCCUAAGUAUUUUUAAUAAAGCCCAGAACAAAAUAACAAAAUAGAAAAUAGAAAUAAAAUAGAAAUGGAGAGAGAGAACCUCACCUGGCCUCACUGUGCAGCCCACCUAGUCGGCCCAGCUGGCGGCCCAGCCAGCUGGCCAGCCCACCGAGGACAGGGGCGUCUUCUUCCUCCUGCCAGAAGGAAGAGGAGAAGACAGCCACGGCGCCGCGGCGUGCCACGCCGGCAGCUGCCUGCCUGGCUGCCCCCUCGUCGCCCUGGACUCCCUCUGCGACGCCACGCUACCCCCUGGACCCCCUUGACGCUCUCGCUCUCUCCCUCGCUCUCUGCUCCCUCUCCCAAGCACACCCGAGCGGAGCUCGUCAUUGCUGACGCAAUUUGCCGCGACCACCGCCGUCCCAAUGAUGCCCCGAGCUGUUCCCGAGCUCCUGCACCUCGUCGCCAACCUCCUCACCGACUCAUGCCACCAGGAGAGCCCCGAAGCGACGGCCUCAACGUCAUCUCCAACCACGGCUGACCGAGAUCGCCGCCGUCAAUUCGCCGUCGCAGAAGCUUCCCCGAGCCCGCUGAGUUUCUCUCCCGACCCCUUGUGAGCUCCUGCACCUUCCCUAUGCUCGCCCCCUCUCUGUUUCCCUCUGCUAGCUCGAUUCCGCUGGAGCCGAGAGCUCAUCGCCACCGUCCAUGGUGCCGCCAUCGUUUUAGCCACCAUAGCUCGUGCCUGAUCGCGUCAACGCGUUCGGUGCCUUCCCAGGAGCACGCAGCUCCCACCAGCUCCUCCUCCCGAGCACCCUAACGCCGAGCCCGCACCAACCCCGAACUCCGGCCGCCACCUUUGAGCUCGUGGCCGCCGACUCCGGCCACCCCAGGGCCGGCUACUGCCACCAGGCGACGCGCUGCAACGCCAGCUACCCGUAGAGCCCAACCGCGGCUCAAACCGCGGCCUGUACACGAAACCCGAGCAACUCCGGCGAGUUGCCGCCACGGUUUUGGUCGCCGGCAACUUAACUCCGGCCGUGCCGACGUGGCACCAUCAUUAGUGGCUAAUGACGCCACUAAACUAACCCCUAGCUCACUGACGAAUGGACCCCACACCUAAUUAACCCCGGGUUUAGUUUCUUGUUUAGAUUAGUGCUAACCCUAUGGACCCCACGUGUCAGCUUUGACUUUGGUCAAGUCAACGUUGGCCGGUCCCACUUGUCAUCCACCCAAACCAGCCUGAGACACUCACGUGUGGGUCCCAAUCAUCAGGUUUAACCUGGGCUGACGCCUUUGACCUGCUGAUGUCACGGUGACGUAAUGUUGACGCAAUAAUUCAUUUUCUGGAAUUAGUUAAUUCUAAAUAAUUCAGAAAAUUCCAAAAAAUUGCCUAAACUUCUAAAAAUCAUAGAAAUUCAACCGUAACUCCAAAUAAAAUAAAUUAUAUAUGUAAAAUUAUCAGAAAAAUUCAAGGAAUCCAUCUGUACCCUUUUCAUGCAUGUUUGAACAAUAUUUGUCCUCUGUUUUGGACAAAACAAAUACAAGGCAUUUAAAUAAACAUAUAUGGAGUUGGAAUUUGAAUCUUGUAUUCAAACCAACUUCAUUUAAAUCAUAACUAGAUGCAUUAGCUCAAAUCACAGCAUAUUGCCAUGUCAUGAUCAUGCAUCAUAUUGUCGCAUAUGCAUUGAUUGUGUUCUUCUCCUUUGCCGGUGUUUGUCCCCCUUCAGUAGACGACGUUCCGACGAUGUGUUCGAUGACACCGAUGAAAAGCUAUUACUAUCUUCAGAAGUGCCAGGCAAGCACAACCCCCUUGUUCAUUCUGAUACAAGCCCACUCUCUCGCUCCUGCUCUCUUUUACUGCAUUAGGACAACAACGAUCAUCUGUUACUUGUUGCGGUAGUUGAACCCCUUAUCCUCUGCAUGACCUGUCAUUGCCACAGUAAAUAGAUGAAACCCACUAGCAUGAGUAGGAGUUGUUUGACCCCUGAUGUGCCUACUCAUUCAUGCUUGUUUGUCAUGCCUGCUACUGCUUAGAGUUGGGUCAGGUCUGAUUCAUCAGGGAUGAAUCGGAGGUGUGUAAACAUGUCCUACUGUGUGUGAGCUAAGUGUGUGAACACGUUUUGGUAAAGGUAGCGGUGAGAGGCCAUGUAGGAGUACAUGGUGGGUUGUCUCAUUGAAACCAUUCUCAGGAACUGAGUUCUGUGUCUGUGAUCCAUGAACAGCUACUACCACUCAUUGGGAUCCUUGAUCGACCCUCUCGGCUUCUUAAUCACCCUAGUACUCUGUCCAGGAGUUGCAACUAGUUUUUGGUGUUUGUAGGUUAUGUGUUGGCGGCCGUGCAUAGCGCUGACCCUAGGGGUGGGCUAUGAUGUGGUAGAUACAUCGUGGCCGGGCAUGCCGGGCGCCCGUUUGGUGUCUCGGAACCCUGUACACAUCGUUCGGGGCCGUAUGUGGAAACCUCGGCCGGACUCCCUGCGGAUGGAACCUGGAUAGGCGAUAAACCUGGACUAGAGACUUGAGUGUUUAGGUAGGCCGUGGCCGACACCCUCGUUGGGCUUCCGCUUGAAGGUUGCCGAGUACAUGUCGUGUAAACGGCGGUAAGUGGUGAGAGCGUGUGUGAAGAAGUACACCCCUGCAGGGUUAACAUCAUCUAUUCGAAUAGCUGUGUCCGCGGUAAUGGACUUCUGGGUUGCCUAUAACAGUUCAUAGACAAGUGAAAAUGGAACUCUAAAACUCGCAAGAUAAGUGUGAGUGCUAUGGAUGGCCUUCUCGUAGGGAGACGGGAGCGGAUCCAUAGUGGUGUAUUGAAUGGUGAAUAUGUGGACUCGUGUGCGCCACCUCAAAAGAGUUGCUUGCAGUCGUAGUUCAGGUUAGCCACUGAGUCAAAGCUGGCUUGCUGUAGUUAAACUCCACCACCCCCCUUUAUUGAUACCGAUGCAUAUGUAGAUAGUUCUGAUGUAAGUCUUGCUGGGUACAUUUGUACUCACGUUUGCCUAUUUUAUGUUUUGCAGAGAGACGUCAGUCUCGCUAGUAGUUCCGUGUGGACUUCGACGUUAGCUUGAUACCUCAGCUACGAUCUUGUGCCCUCGGCAGGAUCUGGUAGAUAGUCAGGCUUCUCAGCCUUUUUCAUUUGUAGAUGUCUGUACUCAGACAUGUUAAGCUUCCGCUUGUGUUUUGACUUGUAUGCUCUGGAUGUUGGGCCAUGAGACCCAUGUUUGUAAUAUCUCGCUCCUCGGAGCCUGAUGAGUAAAUACUUGAGUCGUAGAGUCUUGUUGUGAUGCCAUGUUGUAUUUACACAUAUCGAGCAUAUUGUGUGUAUGAUUGAAAUGCUUGGUAUGUGUGGGAUCCGACAAUCUAGUUGUUUAUCCUUGGCAGCCUCUCUUAUGGGGAAAUGUAGUCUAGUGCUUCCAUGAGCCAUAGUAGUCCGCUACAGCCCAGUUCACCGGAGUCCUUCUAGCCCAGCACUACUGCUCAGGACACUUGACUAGCCGGCAUGUGUUUCACUUCGUUCCUGUGUCUGUCCCUUUGGGGAAAUGUCACGCGGUGACAUCCGGAGUCCUGCCUAGCCUGCUACAGCCCGGGUUACCGGAGUCCUGUUAGCCUAGUGCUACAGCUCGGAUUCACACGCUGCUGACCGACAUGCUCGAUGUGAUUCAUGUAUGUCUGUUCCCAUAGGUUGGUGCCGCUUUGGGUUCACGACUAGCCAUGUCGGCCCGGGUUCCCUGUCAUAUGGAUGCUAGUGACACUAUCAUAUACGUGAGCCAAAAGGCGUAAACGGUCCCGGCCAUGGUAAGGCGACACCCGUGGGAAUACCGUGCGUGAGGCCGCAAAGUGAUAUGAGGUGUUACCGGCUAGAUCAAUGUGACUUGGAAUCGGGGUCCUGACACCCCAGGUGGGCUGGUGCGCCCCGCCCCCCCCCCCACACACACACACAAGGGCCCAAGGCGCCUCCAAGAGGGAAAGGGGGCAAACCCUAGGGCAGAUGGGCCCUAAGGCCCACCCCAGGUGCGCCUCCCCCUCUCCCCCUUGUGGCCGCCACCCAGAUGGGAUCUGGGGGCUGCCGCCACCCCUAGGGAGGGAACCCUAGGUGGGGGCGCAGCCCCUCCCCUUCCCCUAUAUAUACUUGAGGUUUGGGCUGCCCAACACACAUGAGUUUCUGACCUCUCCCUGGCGCAGCCCUACCUCUCUUUCUCAUCAUAUCUCGCGGUGCUUGGCGAAGCCCUGCUGGAGUACCACGCUCCUCCACCACCACCACGCCGUUGUGCUGCUGCUGGAUGGAGCCUUCCUCAACCUCUCCCUCUCUCCUUGCUGGAUCAAGGCAUGGGAGACGUCAUCGGGCUGUACGUGUGUUGAACGCGGAGGUGCCAUCCGUUUGGCACUAGGAUCUCCGGUGAUUUGGAUCACGACGAGUAUGACUCCAUCAACCCCGUUCUCUUGAACGCUUCCGCUUAGCGAUCUACAAGGGUAUGUAGAUGCACUCUCCUUCCCCUCGUUGCUGGUUUCUCCAUAGAUAGAUCUUGGUGACACGUAGGAAAAUUUUGAAUUUCUGCUACGUUCCCCAACAGUUUGGGGGUUAAAGACUUACACAGACAAAACAUCAGUCUCCUCACCAAAUGGUGGUGGAAGCUGGAAACCCAACAAGGCCUUUGGCAGGAGAUUAUUCGUGCUAAAUACUUCAGAAAUGACAUGGUUCCCUCGGUGAAGAGUAAAUUUGGGGAUUCCCCCGUUUGGAAAGCUAUUAUGAAAGUAAAGGAAAUUUAUUUGGCAGGUAGAGAGGUGAUUUUAAACUCUGGGAAUAUAGCCAGAGUCUGGAAUGACCCCAUUAGGGGUGCUGCUCCCUUGCGUGUUAAAUUUCCGAUCUUGUUCAGUAUCUAUAAUUAUCAGGAGAUUACUGUUGCUGAAUUUAAAAAGUUUGAGGGGGGUGAUCUUUUUAGAAGGAACCUGCAUCCACCUCUUGUGGAUCAGUGGAAUGAUCUAGUUAAGGUGGUGAACUCUUGGCAAUUGUCCGAUGAGACGGACUAUAUUAGCUGGAGAUUGGGAAAAAAGAAAGGUAAAUUCUCGACCAAAUCGGUCUAUACCUAUUUGGAAAGAACCCUGGCGGGGUGUGAUUUCAUAUGGAUAUGGAAAGCAAAAAUCCCUCUUAAGAUUCAAAUCUUUCUCUGGCAAUUGUUCCAAGAUGCGGUUUUGACUCGAGAAGUCAUGAAAAAGAGAAAAUGGACAAGAAAUCCCAAAUGCUCUUUCUGCAAUGAGGUGGAAACCUCACAGCAUCUUUUAUUUACUCCACCAAGGCAAAAAAGCUUCGAGAAUGUGUUUACCUCCAUCGACGACGAACUGAUUCUACUCCACCAAGGCAAAAAAGCUUCGAGACUGUGUUUACCCGUUUGGUGGAUCGCACUCCUGCGCGAGUGUCUUUUGCUCUCCUGUGUUUUGCCUACGAGCAGGGCGUUGUAGUACUGUUAUGAUUCCUGUUGGAGUUUUCCUUGAUCUGGUUAGGUCUUGUGGUUUGCGUGAUGCUAGGUGUCACUGGGUUUUCGCCCCGCGAUGGGCUGCUCGAUGAGGAGUGCUCAUAGUGGGUUUCCGAGUGAUGCUUUGAUCUCGCCUUACCCCUUUCUUGCUUCCUUAUGCUGUAGUCGUUUAUGCUGGGUCUGUGUUCGUUGAACUUUAAACUUUGUAUUUCCGUUAUGCAAUUAAUGGAAAGGGGUUAUGGCCCGGGUC